UAUUACAGCUGUGCGACUCAGAUCAGAAGCAGAAAGCAUUCCAUCUUCCCUUGGAACAAUUGACGCUCACAGAUCAAAGGACAAGAUGGGAAAGGCUUUUUUUAGUUAGCUUUAACUAUCAACUUGAUGUAGCUUAGAGCCACCUAUGAAGGGGUGUCUCCAAUGCGGGCUCAACUCAGACUGCCAUGUGGGCAUGCCUGUUAGAAGGUUUUCUUGAUGGUUAAUUGAUGUAGGUGGGUCCAGCCCACUGCGGGCGGCACCAUUCCCUAGAGAGAUGGUCCAGGCCUGCGUAAGAAAGCAGGAGCCUCUGAGUAAACCAGCUAAGUGGUGUUCUUAACUCCAAGUUCCUGCUGAAUUCCUGCCCUGACUUCCAUCAAUGAUGGACCUGCAAACAGAAGGCAGAUAAACCCUUUCCUUCCUAAGUGGCUUUGACCCAUGGCGUUUGUCACAGCACCCGAAGGGAAAUUAGAGCAAGCUACAGAGCAGGCGCUCCAUUACCAGCGAGCAGCAGGCCUUGCAUCCUCCCUGCAAUCAGCUGCAAUCAGGUUCGGACUUUCGGUUUCAAAGUGCUCUUGCAUCUGGGAGGCAGCUGGAAAUGGGAGAUUUUUCUUAGGAAGAGUGGUUUAUUGGCGGUAGAGGGUGAAGUUGAAAAAAAAAAUGCUAGAAACACAGUAGAGGGCCAAAAUCAGUGGGUGGGAUGGAAAAAAAUCCCACCAUUUCCUUCAGGUCAAUACGGAAGUCACACGGUAGAAAGUUCCUCCGGAAACCAGGCAGUACAGUCACCACAUAGAAACAUGUCACCCAAAAAGCUCAAAGCUUCCCUGAGGCAGAUCCCGGAGGACUCUUUGAAACAUCCAGGAAGGAAAGCUGUAAUUUUCCUAAAGUCUGCCUUCAUCCACCUCCUCUCCCUGCCCUGUGAGGGCUCUGGUUAAAUAUUCCGGAAGGAUGCCAGCUCCCAAGGUGGAUGGAUCUGGAGUAGAGGACAAAUAAUAACGCCUGCUGUUAUUAACCACAGGCGUCUUCCUCCUGGGUGGGUUCUUUUUUUUUUUUUUUUUUUUUUCCUUCCGGCUCAUUUUUGAUAUAUCAUCCUGAUCUAAAUCAGGAAAAUGUAUUCUUCCGUCUGGAGCAGCCCCCGCAGUCUGCACUGAAUGGGGCUCCCACCUCUGACAAAGCGAUCGGCUUCUUCACGGCUGGCAGUUCGUUGGGCAGACAAGCGGCAGUGCCGGGGAGACCUGAGCAGCGUGGAGAGCAGUAUCUGUGGGUGUCAGGUGGGGCACCCCAGUUCCUGGACCUGUAGCAGCAUGUCUUGCCUCUUUCCUGUUGAGGUGCAUGGUGACUGAAGCACCCCUGGCAGGAACCCUGGAGCCUUCUGGCUGCUCCCAGACCUAGCCAAGCAUGGCCCCCUUGGCUUUUGCCUUCCUGUCUGUGAUUCAGCCUGUGGAGGACUGGAGGGACUCUGGUCGUCCCUGAACAGAGGUUUACAUGGCUCCUCCCUGCCCUUGCUGCCUCUUCCACCCAUAUGUGUCUCAUCACCACAUCUGUAAAGGGAGCAGCACCUAGAGGGGUGAAUUUCUCCCUUCUUUCUACUCUUCUUCACACCUGCCCUGCACUUGGUUCACCUGUGAUUUCCACUGUGAGUCUGAUUUGCUGUUUGAGCAUGAGCCAAGGACCUGCAGGGACAGUAUCUAGGGCCCCUUCCCUGAAUGUUCUUAUCAGGCAAAGUUUACAGGCAGAGAGCAGACAGCCAACAAAUGGCAGCAGCCUCUGUGCCUUGUAAAGCUUUUCCAAAUGAUCUUAUCCCCAAAGCUCCAAGAGGAUGCAAUUUCCCGUUAGCGGAAAGUCCCAUAACAAACACAUAUGUGUAUACACGGGGUGGAUAUAUGGUCUGAGCAACCCGGCUGCCCUCGGAUGUUUUCUCCAGCAGGAGGUACCACAAAAGCCUGAUCAAAGCUCCUCUUUACCUCUGGCUCCAAGCCCUGGGAGCCAACAGUUGCCGGCUCCUCUGACUCAAAACGGAAAGGAAUUCCAGAGAUGUGACCUCUCCCACCCUGGUGUACUGGCAGCCACGCAUGGAACCCUGACGGGAAGGAAAGCAGCCGCAGCCGCACCUAGCUAAAGCUGGAUUUGAGACUUCAAGGACAGUCCCAAGAAGGCAAGGAUAUAGAGAAGAAGGCAAGACUUCCAGUAGCUUCCUUCUCCUGGCCAAGGCCUCCAUGUGUCAGCCAGUGAAGCAAACUAACGUAAAAUUGUACAACAACGACAUCACUGUGCUGAGAAGUAUGGGUUCUGUGUCGGCAAGGAACCCCAAGGUGUCUCUGUCCCAUCAGGCAGCCUUUCUGCAGCAGCCAGAUUUUCAUAAACAUUGGUCAGGACACGUAAUCACUCAUCUAUAGGUUUUACUCAACACAAUCGGUGGUCCCCAGAUAGCUGUUUGUGUUACAAGGUGGCAGCCUAAAUCUCAUGCUGAGAGUCUCUUUGAAACCGCAGUCACUAAUGUUCACUAGGCCUUUCCCAGACACACUCCAUGUUCCUCUAACCACCCUUUUCCUCCCCUAGACAGCAAAUUCCCCCUGGGUGGCCGUGCUGGCUAAGGAAGAACUUACAGGCACCUGGCCUGCUCCCUGUGCUGACUGCAUGCCUGGCGUUCAUUCAUUCACAACAUCCCUAAGCAGCUUGUGUGCCAGUGAGAGUUCACAUCACAAAAAUGAGACCCUAAGGCAGAGAGAGGGCGAGGAGCUUGCCCAGGGUCACACGGCCAGUUGGAGAGGGAAGCACGAUCCACUCCCCGCAAUUGCAUGGUGGCUCUGGGCUAUUUUCUGCUCUAUUCUUCUGUCUAUUGAGUCUCAGAGCCCUGCAAGCGACAUGUCACCUCCUGAGAGCUCUUCUGGUCAGCCAUUGUUAGAGGGGAAACCGAGUCUAGGGAACAUGGAGAGAGGCUCUGACUAGUCACUGCUGCAGGUAGCAAUCUCAGCAUGUGCCAUGCCGAUGGUGAUUACAACCUUGACUUGAGGUUUGAGUUCAGACCAUUUCUGUCUACAGUCACGUUAAGAAGCAAUCUUGUUCUGGGGAGACGGUUCAAGAGGGCACAGUGCUCGCCGUGUGAGUGUAACACUCUCAGUUCUGAUGCUCGGAGCUCACACAAAGCCAGACUCAGCAGCCCACACUUACACUUCCUGUACUCUUGUGGCAAAUUGGGAGGCUUACCUGUUAUGGUGAACAUCCCGCCCCCCACAAAAUGGAAAGCAAAGACCCAAGGCUGUCCUCUGACCCCCACAUGCACUCUGUGGCACUCAGUCACCUGCACUCAUACACACAAACACACACACUCAUCACUCAUCAUCAUCCAUGCACGUGAACAUACACAUACAUCAUACAUGAACAUACACAAACAUAUAAUCAUCCAUAAAUAUGUGGCUACACACAAUAAAAAACUAAGAAGAAAAAAGAACCAUUCCCACUGUAUUCUUUCAGGGGACCUCAGAAGAGAUUCUGCUACAAUCUAACCUUCAUGGAAUCUAUGGUUCUCAGAGUGCUGGGAUAGGGUUCCCAGAGAGGCAGGACUUGGGAAGCAUAGAGAGCCACAGAACUGGACACCAGAACAUUUUUACAGUCUGGUUCUCUCCCUGAGGCAUGGUCCAGGCAAGGCUGUUUUGAGCCCAUGUUUACAUUAAAGCUCACAGAUGUUCCUGAUAGUUCAAUAACUACUUAUCACAAACAUGCUGAGUGGAACCCCUGUUCAAGGCCCUGGGAUCCAAGGUGAUAACAAGGGGUUGUCCUGCUAUCUGUGAGCUUGUGUUGAAGUCAAGAGAAAUCGAUCUGCAGUGAGUAAGUGAUGGGUAAGGAAGAUGACCUCUGACAGCAUUGUGUGUGGUGAAGGAGGUCGUGAGGGCGAGUGCUGAAGUGACAAUGGAGAGGUUCAAGGAGACAGACAGUCAGGAAACUCUCCUAAGAGAUGAUGCAACCGAGCCUGGUAGAGUCAUCAACUCUAAACUGAGCUGAGAAAGAUGGUUUCUGGAGACAAGAGAAGGGGCUCUGAGGCGGGCUGGUUUCGCUUCCCAGGGACAGACAGCUAACACCGUUGGCAGGAGCAGGGCCCAUGGCCAUAGCCUGAGAGUGAUCUUGU